UACGUAGGGGGCAAGCGUUGUCCGGAUUUAUUGGGCGUAAAGAGCGUGUAGGCGGCCAGACAGGUCCGUUGUGAAAACUAGAGGCUUAACCUCUAGACGUCGAUGGAAACCGUCUGGCUAGAGUCCGGAAGAGGACGAAUGGAAUUCCUAGUGUAGCGGUGAAAUGCGCAGAUAUCAGGAAGAACACCCGUGGCUAAGGCGGCUCACUGGACCGGUACUGACGCUGAGGCGCGAAAGCGUGGGGAGCAAACAGG
rnacentral:rRNA from 1 species